GUAGGUGAACCUGCGGAAGGAUCAUUAUUGUAGGGGCAAAGCCCCAAAAAGGAUGUAGGCCAGCCAGAAUUGCCGCUCUUUCGGCACAUAGAGAACGUAAAAGACCCUGAUCGGCGUAGUGGCUCACCCCAUUAUCUGUAGGUUAGGGCACUUUCCUGGUUAUUCCAUGUAAUCGUCUCCUGAGGGCGCUUCUCCCGCCAGUUUCGGCGGGCGUGGAGCCCCAUGUGACCCCCAGAUGUGCAUUCCAUGG
rnacentral:misc_RNA from 1 species